AACGAACGCUGGCGGCAUGCCUAACACAUGCAAGUCGAACGAGACCUUCGGGUCUAGUGGCGCACGGGGGCGUAACGCGUGGGAACCUGCCCUUAGGUUCGGAAUAACUCCCCGAAAGGGGUGCUAAUACCGGCUAAUGUCUCCGGUCCAAAGAUUUAUCGCCUUUGGAUGGGCCCGCGUUGGCUUAGCCAGUUGGUAGGGUAAAAGCCUACCACGGCGACGGUCCAUAGCUGGGCUGAGAGGAUGAUCAGCCACACUGGGACUGAGACACGGCCCAGACUCCUACGGGAGGCAGCAGUGGGGAAUAUUGGACAACGGGCGAAAGCCUGAUCCAGCAAUGCUGCUUAAGUGAUGAAGGCCUUAGGGUUGUAAAGCUCUUUUACCCGGGAUGAUAAUGACGGUACCGUGAGAAUAAGCACCGGCUAACUCCGUG
rnacentral:rRNA from 1 species